GGGGGCGACCUGGCUUCGACGUGGGUAGCAAAACCUGAGGUGCAUGCCGAGGAUUUCAGUAACCUCGUUAAUAAUGCUGAAAAAAUUAUAGUUGCCAACGACGACAACUACGCUUUAGCUGCUUAAACACCAGCGUAAAGCCCUCUGCCUGAUGCAUGCUUGUAUGCUCAGAUUCCAGGGGUCGACUUAAACAAGCUCGCGAUGAAACAUGUCUGGGGUGGAUUCGCUAAAACUUUACCGGAAUCGCUGAUAGUUUUCCCUGCCGGUCGGGUAGCCAUCAGUUAAAUAAAUAGACCUGAUAAGCAUGUAGAGCCGAUGGCGGAGUGCUCGCGGACGGGGGUUCGAUUCCCCCCGCCUCCACCA
rnacentral:tmRNA from 1 species